rnacentral:rRNA from 1 species
GACGAACGCUGGCGGCGUGCUUAACACAUGCAAGUCGAACGGUGAAGCUCCAGCUUGCUGGAGUGGAUCAGUGGCGAACGGGUGAGUAACACGUGAGCAACCUGCCCCUGACUCUGGAAUAAGCGCUGGAAACGGCGUCUAAUACUGGAUACGAGAAGGGUCCGCAUGGGCACUUUCUGGAAAGUUUUUCGGUUGGGGAUGGGCUCGCGGCCUAUCAGCUUGUUGGUGAGGUAAUGGCUCACCAAGGCGACGACGGGUAGCCGGCCUGAGAGGGCGACCGGCCACACUGGGACGGAGACACGGCCCAGACUCCUACGGGGGCAGCAGUGGGGAAUAUUGCACAAUGGGCGAAAGCCUGAUGCAGCGACGCCGCGUGAGGGAUGACGGCCUUCGGGUUGUAAACCUCUGUCAGCAGGGAAGAAGCGAAAGUGACGGUACCUGCAGAAGAAGCACCGGCUAACUACGUG